UCAAGAGUACGUGAAACCGUUCAGGGGUAAACCUGAGAAACCCAAAAGAUCGAAUGGGGAGAUUCAUCGUCAGCGGCGUUGGCUUCCGUGUGGCUCGCGAUGAUCGGGACUUGGUCUCUGGUCACGCGGCGCUGCGGUAUGUCCGGCGUCGUCGGCGUGCACUUCUCCCCUAGUAGGACGUCGCGACCCGUUGGGUGUCGACGAUGGCCGUUUGGUCGACUGUUGCGUCGCGUUCGCGUCACGUGGCAGACCAAUGUCGAACCUCCGACUGCCCGGCGGUAUAGAGCGAAUUGGUAUUGAGUCGCAUAAUGCGUUAGGCUCGUCGGCAGGCAAGUCUCGCACGGUUACGGACCUGGUGCCGUUACUGUGCGCUUGACGUGCCUUAGUCGACGAUGUCCUCGGACGGGCUCUCUCAUACCGGUCAGCGACGCUACGUUGGGAUACAGAGUUCACCG
rnacentral:rRNA from 1 species